UGUUGUCAAGGGUAAGGUGAUUGAUGCAAACAAAGGUGGAGUUGUGGCAGUUGUGGAAGGCCUAAGAGGGUUUGUCCCUUUCUCACAGAUAUCAACGAAAUCAGCGGCUGAAGAGCUUCUCAACAAGGAGCUUCCUCUAAAGUUUGUGGAGGUUGAUGAAGAACAAUCAAGACUUGUCCUCAGUAACCGUAAGGCCAUGGCUGACAGCCAGGCCCAACUUGGAA
rnacentral:misc_RNA from 1 species